CCAAGAUGGCGGCCGCCGAAAGAGCGCAGUCGUCUGCAGACUUUUGCAGCUCGAAAGGAACUUUUUUCUUUUUUGUUUCUGCUGUGACAUCCCCUUUGGCGUGGUUUCUGAGAAACAUGUACCUUGGUAGUGGUAGGAACAGAAGGGACUUAAAUGUGAAAAUGAGAAAACAAUUGACUCAAUUCCAUUAUUCCUGGAAUGCUGUCACAUGCAGAAUAAGGAGAUAUUUGACCGAGGGAUCCCUGGAGGCGGGACUUAUUCUUCAGAGUUCUAUGCAAAUACUGCUGAGGAGACCUGCCACUCACGGAUUGGCGCUCAAUCAAAUGGUCUCAUGUCCUGAGAAAACAAUCAGAAGACAAAUCUAUCCAUGAUACCCACUUAAAAAGAGAGCAACCAGCCCAAUGAAUAUCAUAUUUAAAGCACCUCAUCAUAUUUGAAUGUGCAUAUUUCUACUUUGUCUCCACCUAAAGCAAGUGUGAUUGGAAUAAAAGAAAGGGCAAGAUGUAUGUUUUGUUCUUCGGUGAUGUACUGAAGACAGCAUUAAGCACUUUAUGAAAAAUCAGAACAUUGAAAGAUUUGUCCUUCAAUGUUCCUGUUCAUCUAUUAAUAAGUUAAUGUGUGGUUGUUUGAGCAGGAAGCUUGUGCUCAAUUCCUCUUUUAUUCACCUCUCAGUUACGCUGCGUAAACGUAUGCUUUUUCUCCACUAUCAUAACCUUUAACAAGGCAUUGAUUUCUCUUUACAAAGCAUUCAAUAAGUGGUCUACAGAUGGGUGCGAUUCUCAUAGGAAGAAAUAGAGAGAUCAAAUAAUUAUGCAUGCUGCUGACUGUCAGGAAGGAUAUGUUUAUCUUCACAAACAUACAGACGCACACACUCAUCCACUCAAGCACACCACACACACACACACACACACACACACACACACACACACACACACACACACACACACACAAACACUCUCACACACAAACACACACUCACACACAUACAAACAUAAUCCCUCACACACACACACACACACACACACACACACACACACACACACACACACACAAAAACACCCACACAAACAUACAGACACACACACAAUACGACGAAAUGUACCCCUCCCAUCCGAAAUAGAACAGCCCUUUCCUUUUGCAGGUUUACACACACUCACACACGCACACAAUCACACACACUCACACACGCACAUGCACUACAACUAAUACCUCUUUCCCUCUCACACACACACACACACACACACACACACACACACACACACACACACACACACACACACACACACACACACACACACACACACACACACACACGACACUGCAGCAUUGCACAUUACUUCAACCCCCCACAUCCACCUCCCCUCACUAUUGGCUCCACCGACACACAGACACACGCACGCACACACCCAAAAUAACCCCCUCCCGCUAACCUUUUCACCCACACACAGAGACACUUCACAAACAGCAGCAAACACACUCUCUUCACAGCAUGAAUGAGGGCUUCAUUGUGCGACGGUUGAAAAUUGUGGCGGUGCACGCUCUCGCGUCCCCCCACACGCCCCC
ensembl:lncRNA